CCUACGGGGGGCUGCAGUCGAGAAUCAUUCGCAAUGGGCGAAAGCCUGACGGUGCGACGCCGCGUGCAGGAUGAAGGUCUUCGGAUUGUAAACUGCUGUCGUGAGGGAGCAACGGCCACCGGGCUAACACCCCGGAGGCGUGAUAGUACCUCAGGAGGAAGCCACGGCUAACUCUGUGCCAGCAGCCGCGGUAAUACAGAGGCGGCGAGCGUUGUUCGGAUUUACUGGGCGUAAAGGGUGCGUAGGCGGUUCCGUAUGUCGGAUGUGAAAUCUCACGGCUCAACUGUGGAAUGGCAUCCGAAACUGCGGGGCUGGAGUACCGGAGAGGAAAGCGGAAUUCUAGGUGUAGCGGUGAAAUGCGUAGAUAUCUAGAGGUACACCGGUGGCGAAGGCGGCUUUCUGGACUGAUACUGACGCUGAGGCACGAAAGCUGGGGGAGCAAACAGGCUUAGAUACCCUAGUAGUC
rnacentral:rRNA from 1 species